UACGGGGGGGGCAAGCGUUGUUCGGAAUUACUGGGCGUAAAGGGCUCGUAGGCGGCCAACUAAGUCAGACGUGAAAUCCCUCGGCUUAACCGGGGAACUGCGUCUGAUACUGGAUGGCUUGAGGUUGGGAGAGGGAUGCGGAAUUCCAGGUGUAGCGGUGAAAUGCGUAGAUAUCUGGAGGAACACCGGUGGCGAAGGCGGCAUCCUGGACCAAUUCUGACGCUGAGACACGAAAGCGUGGGUAGCAAACAGG
rnacentral:rRNA from 1 species